rnacentral:rRNA from 1 species
UCAAGAAACUUCCACAAUGGGCGAAAGCCUGAUGGAGCGACGUCGCGUGAUGGACGAAGUGCUUCGGCACGUAAACAUCUUUUAUGUGGGAUGAAAUUAUUGACAGUACCACAUGAAUAAGGGGCUCCUAACUCUGUGCCAGCAGGAGCGGUAAUACAGAGGCCCCAAGCGUUAUCCGGAAUCACUGGGCGUAAAGGGUGUCGAGGCGGUUGCAUUAGUCGUUCGUAAAAUCUACGAGCUUAACUUGUAGGCGGCGAACGAAACGGUACGACUUGAGGUUUGGAGAGGUGCGUGGAACUCACGGUGUAGGGGUGAAAUCCGUUGAUAUCGUGGGGAACACCAAAGGCGAAGGCAGCGCACUGGCCAAAAUCUGACGCUCACACACGAAAGCUAGGGUAGCGAAGAGGAUUAGAUACCCACGUAGUCCCUGAGCGGGCUGGCAAGGCGCAU